rnacentral:sRNA from 1 species
UUCAAAUUCACUUAUUCUAGUAGUUUGUAGAUUCCUUUGAAUUUUUUAUGUCUGUAAUCAUAGAAGCAUUCUAUGCUUCUGCAGAUAAAGCAUUUUUCAGUGUUAAAAGUUUUUUUGACUUCUUUUUCUGGAGUUUCCAUCUUCUCAUUUUGUCUUCUCCUGUUGGUAUCAAGUGCUAAGAAUAGCACCACUUGGAAAUAUGACAGGACUGCAGCCAGUGUGGAUAAUUAUCAUUUUCAACUACAGAUCUCUCUCAGCCUUGUCUGCUUAUCACACUGGCUUGAUCGCGCCCAUGAAGAUCCGCACAGAGGCCCCUGGGAACCUUCGUUUAUACAGUGGGAGCCCCACUCGCAGCGAGAAAGAGCAGGUCUCCAUCAGCUCCUUCUACUACAAGGAGCGGAAAUCAAGACGAUGGAAAAGUAAGCGUGAGGGAUCAGACUCUGGCAAUCGACAGAUCAAGGCUGCUGGGAAAGUCAUCAUCCAGGAUAUUGCUUGCCUCCUGCCUGUUCACAAAUCGCUGGGAGAGCUGUACAUAUUGAAUGUGAAUGAUAUUCAGGAAACAUGUCAGAAGAAUGCCGCCUCUGCCUUGCUCGUUGGAAGAAAGGAUCUCGUCCAGGUUUGGUCGCUGGCUACGGUAGCUACAGAUCUUUGCCUUGGUCCGAAAUCUGACCCAGAUUUGGAAACACCCUGGGCUCGACAUCCAUUUGGGCGGCAGCUGCUGGAGUCCCUGUUGGCUCACUAUUGCCGGCUCCGGGAUGUUCAGACACUGGCGAUGCUCUGUAGCGUGUUUGAAGCCCAGUCUCGG